UACGAAGGGCGCAAGCGUUACUCGGAAUUACUGGGCGUAAAGCGUGCGUAGGUGGUUUGUUAAGUCUGUUGUGAAAGCCCCGGGCUCAACCUGGGAAUGGCAAUGGAUACUGGCAGGCUAGAGUGCGGUAGAGGGUAGUGGAAUUCCCGGUGUAGAGGUGAAAUUCGUAGAUAUCGGGAGGAACACCUGUGGCGAAGGCGGCCAUCUGGACGACGAUUGACGCUGAGACGCGAAAGCGUGGGGAGCAAACAGG
rnacentral:rRNA from 1 species